GUCAAUUUUGUGGCAGUCAAUGUCGUGGCAGUCAUUGAUUGGUCUCCCUGGCGACGGUAGCACCAGCAGCGCCAGGCACAGCUGCUGCUCAGUGCCAGCCUCCAACAGGUGACGUGGGCUGCUACUGACGACUCAGAAUUUCGUGACGUGAGGCAAUGGAGGAAGAUUCCAAGCCUACGGCCAGCGGAGGACGAA